rnacentral:tRNA from 1 species
GGGCAUGUAUCGGGCCAGGUCUUCUACCCUGUGCACCCGUAAUUGGAUGAUGCCGGUUCGAUCCCGGCCAUGCUCUCCA